UGGGGAAUAUUGCACAAUGGGCGAAAGCCUGAUGCAGCAACGCCGCGUGAGUGAUGAAGGCCUUCGGGUUGUAAAGCUCUGUCUUUUGGGACGAUAAUGACGGUACCAAAGGAGGAAGCCACGGCUAACUACGUGCCAGCAGCCGCGGUAGUACGUAGGUGGCAAGCGUUGUCCGGAUUUACUGGGCGUAAAGGAUGCGUAGGCGGAUUUUUAAGUGAGAUGUGAAAUACCCGGGCUUAACUUGGGUGCUGCAUUUCAAACUGGGAAUCUAGAGUGCGGGAGAGGAGAAUGGAAUUCCUAGUGUAGCGGUGAAAUGCGUAGAGAUUAGGAAGAACACCAGUGGCGAAGGCGAUUCUCUGGACCGUAACUGACGCUGAGGCAUGAAAGCGUGGGUAGCAAACAGGAUUAGAUACCCUGGUAGUCCACGCCGUAAACGAUGAGUACUAGGUGUAGGAGGUAUCGACCCCUUCUGUGCCGCAGUUAACACAAUAAGUACUCCGCCUGGGAAGUACGAUCGCAAGAUUAAAACUCAAAGGAAUUGAC
rnacentral:rRNA from 1 species